GGAAGGAGAAGUCGUAACAAGGUUUCCGUAG
rnacentral:rRNA from 1 species